AUUGAACGCUGGCGGCAGGCCUAACACAUGCAAGUCGAGCGGCAGCGGGAAAGUAGCUUGCUACUUUUGCCGGCGAGCGGCGGACGGGUGAGUAAUGCCUGGGAAAUUGCCCAGUCGAGGGGGAUAACAGUUGGAAACGACUGCUAAUACCGCAUACACCCUACGGGGGAAAGCAGGGGACCUUCGGGCCUUGCGCGAUUGGAUAUGCCCAGGUGGGAUUAGCUAGUUGGUGAGGUAAUGGCUCACCAAGGCGACGAUCCCUAGCUGGUCUGAGAGGAUGAUCAGCCACACUGGAACUGAGACACGGUCCAGACUCCUACGGGAGGCAGCAGUGGGGAAUAUUGCACAAUGGGGGAAACCCUGAUGCAGCCAUGCCGCGUGUGUGAAGAAGGCCUUCGGGUUGUAAAGCACUUUCAGCGAGGAGGAAAGGUUGAUGCCUAAUACGCAUCAACUGUGACGUUACUCGCAGAAGAAGCACCGGCUAACUCCGUGCCAGCAGCCGCAGUAA
rnacentral:rRNA from 1 species